rnacentral:rRNA from 1 species
AUACGAAGGGGGCUAGCGUUGUUCGGAAUUACUGGGCGUAAAGCGCGCGUAGGCGGACUGAUCAGUUGGGGGUGAAAUCCCAGGGCUUAACCCUGGAACUGCCUCCAAUACUGUCAGUCUUGAGUUCGGGAGAGGUGAGUGGAAUUCCUAGUGUAGAGGUGAAAUUCGUAGAUAUUAGGAAGAACACCAGUGGCGAAGGCGGCUCACUGGCCCGAUACUGACGCUGAGGCGCGAAAGCAUGGGGAGCAAACAGGAUUAGAUACCCGAGUAGUCC